UGCCUACAACAUAGAGUUAAUUCAUAGGAUCCCAUUAGAACUCCACAAUUAAGUGCGCUCAGUCUAGAGUAGUACUGGGAUGGGUGACCGCUUGGGAAGUACUAGUAUUUUAGAUGC
rnacentral:rRNA from 1 species